rnacentral:lncRNA from 1 species
GCUCCUUAAAUAAGGUGUAUUUCCUCUCAGUCACUUGCACAAGCAAACAAGUACUUCCUGGUUAGUUGUAUUCGUUUUGUUAUAUUUAUGAGAGCUGCCUUUUCAAACAGGAGAAGAAGGACUAUCUCGCUUGUCUGAAAUCAACAGGAGCUCAGUCUGGAAAAUGCUGGAUAUUCUAGAAGAAAUACUUGCGAUGUAGGAUAGCCAUUGUUUGGAUGCUUCCUCCCUGUGUAAGAAUUUCAUAAAUAUUGUAUUGUAAGUAUUUUAGUUAGCUUAACCUAUUUUUUGGCACAUCCAUAUAUUUAUGUAUAAUGAUUUAGGGUGCAUUUGGUUCCUAAGCCAUCCUCUCAAGCUCCCACUUCCACAGUUGUGAUCCCUGGGUUUGGGAAGCCAGGUUUGCAGAAGAAAUCGAGGGGCUCAAGUCUGCAAUCAAGGGAGUCUGCAUGGUGGUCUCUGUUAUUUGAAGGAAAUGUGCUCGGGAAUGAGCCAUUGGCUAAAUUGCUUGGUGAUCUCAAGGAUGUGCUCUAUGAUGUGGGCGUCGUGGUAGACGACAAGCUCUGACCACUACAGGCUCCAACAAGGUAGAAUUAAUUUAGUUGUCAUUUCAUAUUGCAAGACACGGUGAAAGUAUAAUUUAUCCAAGUUUCUUUGUUUAGGUGGUGCUGUAGAAAUAGACAAUGCCAAUGUUACUGUGAAAUGUUUUGUUCAGUUCAUCCGAGUCCUGAUUUGCUUCCCAUGCAAAAAAAGAAAUUGUUUGGGCUUGUCGGGUCUGUGAGUCGUACUACACCGAACAUGCAACUUUUGGCAUGGUUUAGUUUCAAAACUUAAAGAAGCUAGGGAGUUUCACCAUCCCAUUAUUUUGUGCAACUAUUUUGGCAUCGAUUUGAUGUUGAUAUACC